GUAGCCUCGCUGUGGCGGCAGCAGCUGGCGCAGGAGCGGACGAACGUUUGCGGAAAAGACGAGGUGGACGUCGGCGUGGCGAUGCAGAUUGAUCGCUCGGGUCCGGCACUGCCACAGAACCGCGGCGACCGCUUCGAAGGGACGGCACGCAGUCGAACGUGAUCGUGGGAGGUUGCCGCGGGAUCCUCGGUGGAGCGGGGAUGGCGUCUCUGAACCAGAUCGGCUCCACGGUGGGGCGAGAAAGCCCGCCGGCGAUCUCUCCCACUGCCUUCAGGAACUGGCCCGCGCCGACGCCGUCGAACACCAUGUGGCUGAACUUGACUCCCACUGCAAAUCCACCGCAGUCGAACUGCGUUACCUGCGCUCUCACAAACCACAAGCCAAAUAAAUCUUUUAUUUAUUUAUUUUAUUUUAUUUUAUUUUUAUUUGUAUUUAUUUAUUAUUAUUAAGAUAAAAUGGUGAUUGUAUGGAUGCGUACAUCGGAUUUCAAGAUAGUUAACAUCCGAUUACAUUUUUAA